ensembl:lncRNA
GAGCCAGGAAUGUUGUGGUCAGCUGGCUGGGGUACAGGGCCUACAUCAUCGGCAUCUACAGUAUGGUCUCUACACCUUAUACCACACCAGUCCACUGAACAGGGCAAACGGCUUUUGGGCACACCACUGGUUCCCACCAAAAUUGGCACGACCCAAUGGAUUCAAUCUGCUGAUGCCCAAAAUGUCCAAGGUGUCUGUGGCUUCCUGCAUGACACACUAACACACCUGAGCAACCUGUCUGUAGAGGUCCACCAUCACUACAACAGAAGCCCACAGCUCCUUGUGCUCAACAGAGUUAUUCUAGAUUUUGGUGACCCUGAAAUGGAAACCCUGGA